GAGCUGGCGGUGGUGGGAUGGCAUGCGGUAUCUUGCGAGGCCUCUGCGCAGUGGUGGCAGGGCAAUGAAGGUCCAUUUUUGUCUUAGGGUUGUCGGUGCUCAAGCCUCAUGUUAGGUGCCAUUUGUUGCAGCCUGAAUUGCUGCUAGUAAAGUCCAGCGCAAAGAAGCAAAAAGGGCCUUUGCAUAAUAUCCACAGAUGCUUAAUUCAGCCACAUGUGAGAGUGGACCAAGACUGUUGAUUGGACUGAACCUACAGUUUGGUACCUGCAGUGUAUUGUAGUGAUGAUAUUUAUCUACUGCCUUUGAGAUGAAGAUCUAUUCAUUCUUGAACUCGUAACUUGUGUCGCCAGUCCUUGAGGAUGUUGUCUAAGAGAGUAGCUUUACAUUUGGACCACCACCUUCAUUGGGACCUAACCUUCACUUGCAGGCAGCACUGCUCGUAAAACACCUUUUGUGUCUUUUGAGGUCUGUGAUUUAGAUCUUCACUGGCUGAUGUACUGACUCCCUGCCUAAGCCUCCUAAUUCUGCAUGCCAUACAAGCAGAAUUGCGCCAAUGCUAUUAAUUUAUGGAGCUGUCUGAUAGAUUUUAAUUUUUAGAUAUUUAAGGCUCACAAAGAACAUAAACAAAGCACAUGCCACCUGUCCCAAAAACUCCUGUUUAGUAUAAAAAUGCUUCUAUUAGCAGAGUUAAAUAGUUUGUUUUCCAAGUGGAAAUUGAAGUUCUCUCAGGUGUUUACAUGCCUAAACAUUGCAUUGAAGAUCGGAAUUGCAGAGAUCCUUGUAUUCUCAUUAAAUCUAACAAUUUAAUGCUCAUCAGUUAUAUGAGACCAGAGCACUAAAUAGAGGCUAAAUAGGAGCUUCACUGUGAAAACUGAACUUCCAGAAAUUGAAGGAGUAGUUGAUAUAAAUUAAAUUUAAAAACCAAACCAACCAAACAACCAAACAAAAAAACCCACAAAAAAACUGAACACCACUGAACAAAAAAAAAUUAACAAACACAAAAACAACAAACAAUGCCUCCCAAACAAAAAAAAAAAAAAAACAACCAGAACAAACAAACAAAAAACAAAAAAACCAAUAGCCUCCUUCCCCCCGAAAAAAUCCCAAAGAGAAGAAGAAAGUAGUAAUAUUCUGCACUGCACCCUUUUGUUUAUCUUGGUCUUUGUGCCUUACGGUUAGCAGGAAUAAAAGGUAUCUGAUUACUUCUUAGUGUUAUAUGUCAAAUGCUUUGCCUUAUCCUUGGAAUUCAUAACAUUUCUUGUUCUUCUUAAAAUCUAUGUACGUGGAUUAUCCCAUAAGGUCAGAUCUCAUUACUCUGCAACAGGAGGUAUAUUGUGCCAUGUUUUCUAUGCACAGCAAAGUAUACACCCAGUAUUUUAUGUAGUGUAAUUUCAUUACAGUGUAAUGCCAACACUGAUUUUAUGAAGACACCGGCAUGGUGAUCUAAAUUGCUUUGCAUAUUUCUAUGGUCACUUUCUGGAGGUGGAAUACAUCAAGGAAACACUUUCAGAGAACUUUUGAGUAUCACUUAUCUUCAAAAACAUGUUGAACAGCUGGUCUUGUUCCAGGGACUCUGUUGAAGAAUACCUUGUUGGAAUGGUCUGCAGUUAGCCAGGGACAAUGGGAUGAGGUCUACACAUGAGAAUAACACAAGGAAGACUUAUUGCACUGCUGGGAAAUCCUGACUUGCAUGAUUAUAUAAUCAGAAUCAUUAUCUCAGUUUUGCUCUUUUGAGAGAGAAAGAUAAGAUUCUUGUAUGCUAUAAGCUUGAGAACAAAUGAUAAUUAAGAUAAUUUUCUUUAUAUGAAUGCCUGUGGAUAGAAAUUGGGUACAAAAUAAUUUUUUCUUCUGAGCAAAAAGGAAACUCUGUUAUAAAGGGAAAAGGUGCGUAUUUUGUUCAGUUCUUGCAGGAUUUAAUCAUAACCUAAAGGUGCCAAUUGCAUUUUUUUAUGGGAUUAACAUCUGUGUUCUGGUAUCUAAUAGGGAUUUCAGAUUCUAUGUGGAAAAGCUCUGUUUAUUUUUCCAGCACCGUAGAUUGUUCCCCUGUUUGUGCUAAUUGCUCCUCUGUGCAUGUAGUGCAUAUUGUCUAGCUCUUAUAUUAGAUAACUUCAUUUGUGCUGUGCUAGUCUCAAACACACCUGCAAAAACCUGUGAUACCUUUUAAAGCUGAAGAUGUUUCCCUUGCUUCUUAUAGCACAACAGUCAUGACUACCUGAGGUAUCAUACUGAAAGAGUAAUUACAGCUGAAUAUACAGAGUGCUAGAUAAAAGUGCAGUGCUAGAUAAAAGAUAACCAUUUAGGUAUGCGAACCAGUCUGGGCCAAAUAACACAGCUAAUGUCAUCAUGUCACUCCUGGAAUUCAUUUCUAUCAGCGCCUUUCCUAUUAUUUAGACAUACAUGGUGCUGUAAGUUUAAUCUAGCUUUACAAAUAAAAUAAUUAUUUUCUAAGGAAAGAUACCUUUCCACCGUGGAUUCCUAAAAUACCUUGCACUGGACAGGAUGUGGAAAGCAAAUGUGCAUAGGACAAAGUAGUAUGCUUUGGUCUGGGAGAAGCUUACAUAGCAACUGCAUGCACGGCUGGUAGUAACUGGAAAUGCAAAAGGCCCAAGACUCAAUUUUUUUGUUUGGUUGUUUGUUGCUUAUUGUUUAUUAAUGUUGGUGGGGUUUUUUUGGGUUACUGCUUAUGGGAUGGAUUUAUUUAUGAAUGCUAAUAGCUCUUUAACAAAAAGCAAAAUGCACACAGAACUGGGCCCUGGCCUGGUAAAUCUUAAAACUCUUUAUCAAAGAACUGCUGUUCAUUCUUUAAAAUCCGAAAAUGCCUUCUCUGACCUGAUGCUGCUGCUUUGCAUCAUUCUGACAGCUAAAAACAGCCCUAACUGGCCAACUGAGGAUUCAAUUUUUAAAGCUAUAAUGACUCCUAUGAUAAUCUGCUCUGGCUGUUGCCUCAGGGUCAGGGUAUGACAUGUUGACUUUCCACUAAUUCCCUAUCUGCUAGAACAGCCUUGUGGGGUCCAAUGCAUGGUGAAAUGAGAGCAGCUCAGGCUCCUGUAAUACACACCAAGUAUAACUAAUGUAGGAAGAGAGGGCUUUUUAAUUAACUCCUUUGUCUCUUUCCUACAGUUUUUGGAAGUUCCCAGGUUCUGCUCUUUUAUUCCUCAAUUUAUAAGAACAAAUAGAUACAAAAUACAUAAUUGUGAGAGAAGAAGUUUUCAGGGUGUGAAUGUUUUACAAUAGAGUAUUGUCAGGCCACAGUUUGGUCAUACACCUUUGCAAAUGCCUGAAAUUCUGUAUCCGUGAAAAAUUUGAUGAGGAAGACAAUUUGAUAGGCACUUACAAUUAAAGUUAUAAAUGAUUCCACUAUGUGCAAAGCUAUGGAGACUGAGGUCUGAUAUCUCCUUCACACAAAUAAGUGAUCUUGAUUUUUAUUCUGUUCAAUUUACACAUUUGAGAUAUUUUCAGUAAGGAGCAAACACGUUCUACUGAAAAAAAACCCCUAUCAUUUGCAUCCUUGUAAUCUUUGCACAGCUGUAUAUCAUGGUUUCUGAUCUACAGAGUUCUUCUGAAAUUAGUGAAUCUGAGACACCUGAAAGUCAGCUGAAGGUGUGCAGGCAAUGACUCUGCUCAAGACAUUUCAUUUCCUGUAAUACAGAACUCUGAUAAGGUUUGUUGAUUUGUCAUUGUCAAGAAAUGUGCAAGAAGGCUACUCUAAAUACAGCCAGCCUGCUUCUCUAAUCUCUAAUUGCCAGUGUCAUUGAGACUGCCCCUUCCUUCCAUCUUAUGUCUUUAGUCAGUUUGCAGGUAUGUUUUAAUGAAAACAGUUUAUUUCAUGGCAUUGAGUAAAAGUGGUUCUUAAUCUAUCUGACUUUAUGUAAGUACACAUAUUCCAUAAAGCAGAAGUUUUCCUUAUUUAGUGAACUAUUUAAAAUACUGUAUGUGAGGGUAUGCAAACAAUUUACUCAGAUUCACUCCAUUUUUUUUAAAUUAUUCUACACAAGAAAACAAAAUCGGCAAGAGUUCAGUGUUUUUCUGGGUGGAUUUUUGCCUUUGGAACCAGUCACCAUUGAGCUCAGAUCAUAUUCAUGAACUCGAAAUAUAUAUUUGCUGAUUGUUUGUGAUAAACAAGCUCAGUAAAAAUGAAGGGAGUUGGCUUAAGCUGGAAAGCUGCAUAGCUAUAUGAGAGUAUAGAAUACAAAUGUGAAACUAUGUCUUUCUUCAGGCAGGUAUCAAACAAGACAUCUCAUAAGACUAUAGCUUUGAAGUUCUUAAUAGACACUGAUUUGUAUAAAUAAAGACAAAACGUUAUUCAAAUAGCCUUUUGAAGGAUAUUUUUUGCAUGAAAUAUCAAAGUUAAAUGCACAACAAAUAGAAUGAAAA